rnacentral:rRNA from 1 species
GAUGAACGCUGGCGGCGUGCCUAAUACAUGCAAGUCGAGCGAACAGAUGAGGAGCUUGCUCCUCUGACGUUAGCGGCGGACGGGUGAGUAACACGUGGAUAACCUACCUAUAAGACUGGGAUAACUUCGGGAAACCGGAGCUAAUACCGGAUAAUAUAUUGAACCGCAUGGUUCAAUAGUGAAAGACGGUUUUGCUGUCACUUAUAGAUGGAUCCGCGCCGCAUUAGCUAGUUGGUAAGGUAACGGCUUACCAAGGCAACGAUGCGUAGCCGACCUGAGAGGGUGAUCGGCCACACUGGAACUGAGACACGGUCCAGACUCCUACGGGAGGCAGCGGUAGGGAAUCUUCCGCAAUGGGCGAAAGCUUGACGGAGCAACGCCGCGUGAGUGAUGAAGGUCUUCGGAUCGUAAAACUCUGUUAUUAGGGAAGAACAAAUGUGUAAGUAACUAUGCACGUCUUGACGGUACCUAAUCAGAAAGCCACGGCUAACUACGUG